rnacentral:rRNA from 1 species
CUUGCCAGGGAACUACAAGCCCCAGCUUAAAACCCAAAGGACUUGGCGGUGCUUUAGACCCACCUAGAGGAGCCUGUUCUAGAACCGAUAACCCCCGUUAAACCUCACCCUCUCUUGUUUUUCCCGCCUAUAUACCGCCGUCGUCAGCUUACCCCGUGAGGGCUUAAUAGUGAGCAAAAUUGGCACAGCCUAAAACGUCAGGUCGAGGUGUAGCGUACGAGAGGGGAAGAAAUGGGCUACAUUCACUGCCCCAGUGAAAACGAACAAUGUGCUGAAACGGACAUUCAAAGGAGGAUUUAGCAGUAAGGUGGGAACAGAGUGCCCCCCUGAAACUGGCCCUGAAGCGCGCACACACCGCCCGUCACUCUCCCCCAGUAAAUGGAUCUUCAUAUAUAAAAAGCAACCACAACAAAGGGGAGGCAAGUCGUAACAUGGUAAGUGUACCGGAAGGUGCACUUGGAUAAAC